GACAGAGGAUGCAAGCGUUAUCCGGAAUGAUUGGGCGUAAAGCGUCUGUAGGUGGCUUUUUAAGUCCGCCGUCAAAUCCCAGGGCUCAACCCUGGACAGGCGGUGGAAACUACCAAGCUGGAGUACGGUAGGGGCAGAGGGAAUUUCCGGUGGAGCGGUGAAAUGCGUAGAGAUCGGAAAGAACACCAACGGCGAAGGCGGCCCCCUGGUCGGAUACUGACGCUGAGACGCGAAAGCGUGGGGAGCAAACAGG
rnacentral:rRNA from 1 species